UCAAGGUCAGACUGUUUUAUUUCCAUGGAUGUCUAGAGAUGAGUUAAGGGUAGCUCAGACCUUUUGGUCAGUAAAAUGUUAGAAGAGAGAGAAUCUCACCUGGAUCUUGGAGAGAACACUUAUAUACUUCUUUAUUCUAUUGAAUUCUUCCCUUAUAGUUAUGGAUGACAGGACACCCAUGUGGAAAGUCCCUUUUCUGGUUUUCAGGACUUAAAAGAGAUGCUUUUCUGAUGUUGAUGUCAGACGACAUAAAGGCAGCAUGUAGAGAUAACCCUGAUGUAAGUGAUGGUUCCAGUCAUCCCGUGUAUGGAUAAAAGAUUUCCAAGGCUUUGUUCCAAGGCCGCUGCCCCACCCCCACCCUCUGCCUGC